AAAGUCGUAACAAGGUUUCCGUAGGUGAACCUGCGGAAGGAUCAUUAUCGUGGGGCUCCGGCCCUAUCGAGAUAGAACCCUUGCCUUUAUAGUACCUUCUGUUGCCUCGGCGCCUGCUUCAUUGCGGCGCCAAUGGGGCCAACCAAAAAACUCUUUUUAUUACCUGUAACAGUCUGAAAAACAAACAAAAGUUAAAACUUUCAACAACGGAUCUCUUGGUUCUG
rnacentral:misc_RNA from 1 species